rnacentral:lncRNA from 1 species
UCCCCCCAGCUUUGCUGGCCCCGCCCUGCGCCAGCCUGUGCCUGCAGGGGGCGCUGUUGGCCCUCCACUGCAGCCAAUCACCGUCCUGCUCCCGCUUCUGCCGCGCCCUGAUUGGCUGCCUCGCCCGCCAAGGCCCCGCCCACCCGCAGAGGACCCCGCCCGGUCCCGCCUCCUGGAGGCGGCCAUGACGGUCCUGGACCCCCCGGGGCUGCGCCAGCUCUUCCGGGGUCACCUGCGGGGUCACCUGAGGGGCGUGGCCUCGCACCGAGUGGCCAAUCACGGCCUGCAGAGGCUCCUGGACCACGCCCCCGAGGACGUGGUGGAGGAGGUGCUGUCGGAGCUUGGCCCCGCCCUCCAGGAGCCGCUGGCCCGGGGCCACCCCGGGGUGGUCGUGGCGCUGUUGGGGGCGGCCCAGAGACACCCCCGGCUCCAGGGGGCGGCGCUGCGCUGGCUCUUCCAGGUGGGACACGCCCCCUUCGCUAGGCCACGCCCCCUUCCCGCCGAUAAACCACGGCUGCUUCGCGUGAAGCCACGCCCACUUCUGCUUUAACCAACCCCCUCUAAGCCACGCCCCCUUUACAUUAACUCACACAUGCCUGGAUAAAGCCCCGCCCCCUUCCCGCCGAUAAACUACGGCUGCUUCGCGUUAAGCCACGCCCAUGUCUGGUUUAACCACACCCUCUUUGGGUUAAGCCACGCCCCCUUUACAUUAACUCACACAUGCCUGGAUAAAGCCACGCCCCCUUUGCAUUAACUCACACAUGCCUGGAUAAAGCCCCGCCCCCUUUACAUUAACUCACACGUGCCUGGAUAAAGCCACGCCCCCUUCCCGCCGAUAAACCACGGCCGCUUCGCGUUAAGCCACGCCCACUUCUGGUUUAACCACACCCCCUCUGGGUUAAGCCACGCCCCCUUUAUGUUAACCUGCUCUGUUUUACAAAGCCACGCCCCUUUUAGCCCUGCUGCCUCCCAAAACCCCGCCCCUUUAAAAAGCCCCACCCCUUUCCCCAUAGCCACGCACAUUCCUGUCUUAGCCAC